UUUAAUUUAAAAGUUUCAAAAGUUAAUUUUAAAAAGUUCUACUUUUUACACGUAUACUUCAAAUUCUUAAAGCUAUUUUGUAUACAGGGAAUUGUCCAAUUUUUAAAAAAAAUAUGUUGGAUAAAAGGAUGUUAAUGAUAAAAACUCUCAACUCAUGUAUAAUUGAUAUGGCAGUGACCGGCACUACAGGUGUUCAUUACCAGUAGACAAACCUAAGGUUAUUAUAAAUUUGCGCCUAUGUCAUGGAUGCUGAAGGUAUUGAACAACUCACAAGUAUAAAAAUACAACCUUAUUAUAAGAAAUUUCGUAUUAAU